GGAUAGCUCAGCUGGUAGAGCAUGAGACUCAUGAUCUCAGGGUUGAUGAGUCAAGCCUCACGUUGGGCA